AUUGAACGCUGGCGGCAUGCCUUACACAUGCAAGUCGAACGGCAGCACGGGUGCUUGCACCUGGUGGCGAGUGGCGAACGGGUGAGUAAUACAUCGGAACAUGUCCUGUAGUGGGGGAUAGCCCGGCGAAAGCCGGAUUAAUACCGCAUACGAUCCACGGAUGAAAGCGGGGGACCUUCGGGUCUCGCGCUAUAGGGUUGGCCGAUGGCUGAUUAGCUAGUUGGCGGGGUAAAGGCCCACCAAGGCGACGAUCAGUAGCUGGUCUGAGAGGACGACCAGCCACACUGGGACUGAGACACGGCCCAGACUCCUACGGGAGGCAGCAGUGGGGAAUUUUGGACAAUGGGCGAAAGCCUGAUCCAGCAAUGCCGCGUGUGUGAAGAAGGCCUUCGGGUUGUAAAGCCCUUUUGUUCGGAAAGAAAUCCUUGACUCUAAUACAGUCGGGGGAUGACGGUACCGGAAGAAUAAGCACCGGCUAACUACGUG
rnacentral:rRNA from 1 species